GCCCCGCGCGCUCGGCCCUGAGGGGAGCCCCUAGCGCAGCCUUCUACAGCCGUCGUCCCAGGGCUCUUCCCACCCCGAGAGGAGCUGCUAUCUACAGUAUCAGCACGCCGAACAGAGGUUUUUCACCAGCUUUAUUACCCUCUGGACACAUUGAAGGACCUUCACAUCCUGGAAUAGUGCAGCCCAGGACUGCACACAGUAGUCAAGGAAGUAGAUCAUCAGCCUUUGAAAAGGAGAACAGAUAGGCUGACAAAAGAACCAUCUGUUAAUAUUUACGAACAACAACCAGUCAAGAGGUCUUAGAGAUGAAAGUGCAAGGACACACAAGGGAAAAAGCAGAAAGAGUUGUCACUUGAGCCCUGCAAAUCUGAUUUGAGCUGCUGCUACAGCAGAUACUGCUAACUGCCUCACUGCCUGGUACAAUAAUAAACUGCCUGAAAAGGCUCCUAAUACGUUUGUGCUCCCAAGAGAAGACUGCUCACUCUACUGAUCAUAGGCUGCUGACAGAAAAAAAAAAAAGAAAAAGAUUGACAAAUUCAGCUUGGAAGACCCUGGGCACAACCUGCAGUGCAACAAUGAAAAUAAGCCCAACUCAGAGGAAAUCCAGAUGCACCAGAGGAAGAGGUAGCUGCCUAGCAAAUGUUAAAUCUUCACAAAACCAAGGCUGAAGAGGAACUUCUGAAGUAGUGCUGCUGGUACAUCUGCAGGCCUGAAGCAGAAUCUGCCUACAAGAAGGAUGCUCUGCACUCCAGUUACAAAGUAUCCUUCCCUUUGCUACUCUUCACUGCUAUGGAAAAGAAAUUGUGGUGGGCUGUUUGUAGCAGUAACAAGGGCAGCCAGACACACCACAGCACCUCUCCUAUGAUCUUAGCUGGGUCACAGUGGUAAAUCCAGCUACACAUGAGACAGGACUUUUGCCCCCACCCUUUCAUCUCUGCUGCUGCCCCCUCACUGCUGGAGCCCUCCUGCUCUCAAAGCUGCUCCAGCCCAGAGCUUCCCGGCCAAGCAGCACACACAGAGCGUGAGCCCAGACUGAUCCUGAGUCCCAGCACUUCCCAGACCUAGGAGAGCUCUCCAAAUCCACACAGCUAACCAGCCCAGGCUGGAAGUCCCCAGUGAACAGAACUCUUUGCUCAACCCAGCUCAGCCAGUUUUUCAACUCUACAAAAAGAACUGGUUUCCUUGUUAUUCUCAACAUUUUUUGGAUGUUGAAAUCCAAGUUACCUUUAAAGAGUACAAAAGGUAACCUACAUUGACUGCAAUGCCAAACCAUCAAGAGCACCAUGAGGAUGCUCAAGCUAUUUCAAAUUAUUAUUGAUGUGUGAUCAAAAAUAGACUUAAUCGAUUUUUAAAAUGUGCUUUUUCUCUGGAGGGGGAUCAAUAAAGAACCUGCCAAUUUAUCCAAGAUUUUGAACACAAAUCCCACUUCUAGCUCACUCCUGGGACACCAGCCCCUUCCACUGAAGAUGGCUAGGUCUGGAGAUAAACAGGCAGAGGCACAUCUUCCUUACCCUGCACAGGACACAUGGAACUGAGCAGGCAUCUCCCAGCUCCAAAGCAGGCACACUCAUUCAGGCUCCCAGUCCCAUUAACCACUCCCAGCUUGCCAAUGAACCCAGAGCACAGGAACCAUUCAUUGGCAUCUGCCUGCCUGAGAUUAUGCAAAUACCUCCUAAAGAAAUGUGUGAGUUUUGAGUUUGAACAUAUUGAUCUUUAAAAAGAUGAGGGGGCACAAAACUUAAUUAUCAAAGACUUUGUACUCUUUCAUUAAGAAAACUGAACUACCAGCAAUUCUCAGCCACCUGAUGAGCCAGUCAGGCAAGACACAGAUCUGUCUGCUACAUCCUCUGAGCUAUUGCAAAGACAAUAAAUGUUUAUAUUGAUAGUAAA